AUUGAACGCUGGCGGCAGGCCUAACACAUGCAAGUCGAACGAGUGGCGGACGGGUGAGUAAUGUCUGGGAAAAUGCCUGAUGGCGGGGGAUAACUACUGGAAACGGUAGCUAAUACCGCAUACCAUCGGAUGUGCCCAGAUGGGAUUAGCUAGUAGUUGGGGUAAAGGCUCACCUAGGAGACGAUCCCUAGCUGGUCUGAGAGGAUGAGCAGCCACACGGGAACUGAGACACGGUCCAGAAUCCUACGGUAGGCAGCAGUUGGGAAUAUUGCACAAUGGGCGCAAGCCGGAUUCAGCCAUGCCGCGUGUAUGAAGAAGGCCUUCGGGUUGUAAAGUACUUUCAGCGGGGAGGCGUUACCCGCAGAAGAAGCACCGGCUAACUCCGUGCCAGCAGCCGCGGUAAUAC
rnacentral:rRNA from 1 species